ACAGGGAUUACCUCAGUAACGGCGAGUGAAGCGGUAACAGCUCAAAUUUGAAAUCUGGGCCUUUCAGGUCCCGAGUUGUAAUUUGUAGAAGAUGCUUUGGGUGUGGUCCCGGUCUAAGUUCCUUGGAACAGGACGUCAUAGAGGGUGAGAAUCCCGUAUGUGACUGGGUGCCUUCGCCCGUGUAAAGCUCUUUCGACGAGUCGAGUUGUUUGGGAAUGCAGCUCAAAAUGGGUGGUAUAUUUCAUCUAAAGCUAAAUAUUGGCCAGAGACCGAUAGCGCACAAGUAGAGUGAUCGAAAGAUGAAAAGCACUUUGGAAAGAGAGUUAAACAGUACGUGAAAUUGUUGAAAGGGAAGCGCUUGCAACCAGACUCGCACGUCGUCGAUCAUCCGGGGUUCUCCCCGGUGCACUCGGCGGCAUUCGGGCCAGCAUCGGUUUGGGCGGCGGGACAAAAGCUGUGGGAAUGUGGCUGCCCUCGGGCAGUGUUAUAGCCCUCGGUACAAUGCCGCCCGCCCGGACCGAGGACCGCGCUUCGGCUAGGAUGCUGGCGUAAUGGUUGUAAGCGACCCGUCUUGAAACACGGACCAAGGAGUCUAACAUCUAUGCGAGUGUUUGAGUGUUAAACUCAUACGCGUAAUUAACGUGAACGGAGGUGAGAACCCUUUAGGGUGCAUCAUCGACCGAUCCUGAUGUCUUCGGAUGGAUUUGAGUAAGAGCAUAGCUGUUGGGACCCGAAAGAUGGUGAACUAUGCCUAAAUAGGGUGAAGCCAGAGGAAACUCUGGUGGAGGCUCGCAGCGGUUCUGACGUGCAAAUCGAUCGUCAAAUUUGGGUAUAGGGGCGAAAGACUAA
rnacentral:rRNA from 1 species